CCUAGUUCCUCCACGUGAAGGAGACCACAGGGAUGGAAGCACAAACAGAAGGGUGUAUUUGCAGUUAUAUCACAGGAGAGCACACAAGGAAGAGUUAAAUCAGAAAGUCUCCUCCACUCCCGCAGUGCUCCUGGAAAAGCAUGGUGACUGACUAUCCCUCUUCACAGCUCCUCGUUGUUACUCAACACCGAGAACAUUUGGAAGUGGAAUUAAAAUACCUUAGCUGUACGUAAGAGUACCCACGCAUGUUCAAAGCGUCUCCUACAUUCCUUCUCCAUUUUAGACCGUCGAUGGAAUUUAAAGUGCAUCGGUUUCCCUUUGGGGACUCCUAACAGAACGACAUUUUGACAUUUAUUUUUGAAAGAGGGAGCCUGUUUGUCCUUGGAUGGAUCAGAAUUUCUGUCUGCUGGAAGCCUGGUGCAAUUCAUCCAGCACAGUGAUGAAGCACACAGAAACCUUGGCGAGUGUCCGGGACUGGUGGUGACUACAGUGGUCAUCCUGAUCUUUAUGACAGCCUCUCCCGAGACCCACUGCGGGCACUCGCUGUGGGGCACAGUGAGCAGGACUUCUUGAAGCUUUGCAAAUUAAAGCUAACUUCUACUGAGGGUUGUUAAUGACCACAGCAGGUUGGGAAAGGGCAUUCAAGUGGUUGUCAUCCUUUUAGCAGCGGGACCUAGCAACAACUGGAUGUUUAGCCUGCUCGGGGGUCCCCGAUGAAAGCAACAUCGUCAAGCCCACCAGCGACAACGCUUGUGUACUGAGAGAAGAGAUGGGCUUCACAUUUCAAAUCACGUUUCCCCUGUACAAAUUUCAUUUUCCCAAUUUGUGAAAUAAAGCCCCUUGAGGCACACA